AAUAGAUACCCGGGUAGUCCACGCCCUAAACGAUGUCGACUGGUUGUUGGUGGGGUUAAACCCAUUAGUAACGAAGCUAACGCGUGAAGUCGACCGCCUGGGGAGUACGGCCGCAAGGUUAAAACUCAAAGGAAUUGACGGGGACCCGCACAAGCGGUGGAUGAUGUGGAUUAAUUCGAUGCAACGCGAAGAACCUUACCUACCCUUGACAUGCCAGGAACCCUGCUGAGAGGUGGGGGUGCCCGAAAGGGAACCUGGACACAGGUGCUGCAUGGCUGUCGUCAGCUCGUGUCGUGAGAUGUUAGGUUAAGUCCCGCAACGAGCGCAACCCUUGUCACUAGUUGCUACGGUAACGGGCACUCUAGUGAGACUGCCGGUGACAAACCGGAGGAAGGUGGGGAUGACGUCAAGUCCUCAUGGCCCUUAUGGGUAGGGCUUCACACGUCAUACAAUGGCGCAUACAGAGGGCUGCCAACCCGCGAGGGGGAGCCAAUCCCAGAAAGUGCGUCGUAGUCCGGAUUGCAGUCUGCAACUCGA
rnacentral:rRNA from 1 species